rnacentral:lncRNA from 1 species
UUCGUCCAUCCAAACUCCUUUUCCUUCUUCUCCCCUUUUAUUAAGUACUCUACUGUCAUCAAGGGUUAGUAAUGAUCUCAGAUGCUCUAAGAAAUCUUUGGAGACAUUCUCAAGCUUCAGAGACCUUCCUCUCACUAAUUUCUCAUGAGAGUAACCGUCAGGACAAAUCACUUGGCAUUUAGCACCUUAUCUCGUGAUGUAUUCUUAUAGUUCCUCUAUGUGAAAAUGCCCUCCACAUAAUAUACCAUGAGUCUCAGAGAGGCACAAGAGAUAGGGAUAUUGCAAAGAGGCUGCAAUAUCCUUCACGACAGGAUCUCAACUCCAAAUGGAAAAAAAGUGUUCUGCAACCUCCACAAUGUAAAAUGAAAGUUAAUGUAUGGGAAAUAAAGCCUCCUGAUUUUAGCUACAAACUGUAUACAUCUUUGAGAAUUCCAGAAAGAUCAUCAAAACCAAUUAAGGAAGAAAAAAGGAGGAAAAAAAUCAGUUUUCCAGAAACAAUGCUUCACUUGCCCAGCAUAAGGAAUCAUCCUAAGGAGGUCACAGCUCCUAAAUUUAUAACUACAUUUCCACGUCUGGAUUUACAAAAAGCAAAGUUAAUGUUUGUGAAGAGUGGACAAUAUCCAAGGGGUGUAUAUGUCAAUCCCAAACCACAUGACUUUCGACAGACCAACCUGGUUUACCAAACUUUGAGACAACUUAUGAAAAGGACCCCUUUGGAUUAAAAUUUAAAUCACAACACUUAAGUACAGACAUGGGUACCAGUUACCGAAAGAUGAUAAACAGAAGAAUACUACAGAAAGAUUUAUCACCCACAAGCAUCGUGAAUGCACCUGGGAUUCAAAACUAAUUUUGACGAAAGCCCCAUGGCCUGUUAGAUCUGCUUCAUAUACAGACAUAGAAGGCAGCGUGAUGCAUACAGUGCAUUUAUGGAUCGUGUGGAAGAAAAGUUUACAAAGAUAUGCAAGAGCAGUAGCUGAUGGACCAAAACAGCACAGGGCUUCCUGAACUCUGGCCUGAAUGUUCAUCUCCCAUGCAUUUCCCAGUGAGAACAUUGAUGAAUUCUGGCACCUUCCUGGAUUCUACAGAAAUCUGCACUCUCCCAGAGGCAUGAGAAAGUGCUAAAACAACAAAUGAAAGUUGCAUAAUUUGAAAUUCCCUUGUUACCACAUGGAUCAGAAUCUAAUCAUCAGGCUUUUGAUUUAGUUUGUGAAAGUUAGAUCUUGCAACUAUGAGUGGAAAUGCUGAUAAUGUGCUUUCUGUUAAUGUCCAAAGUUGAAGAGAUGCUCUAGUCUCAGUUUUUCUAGUACACUUUAAGAAGCUUCUCUGAGACACUCAAGUAUAUCAAAAGAGAGAAGAUCUCCAAGUAAGAGAAAUACUAAAUGUCCUUCUUCAAGAACACCAGGCUUGGAGAAUUUACAGUUCCAACUAGAAGGAAAGCUGUAAGCUGUUAUAUCAUGAGCCCAACAAGUUUCUGCUGCCUCCAGUAAAUACAUCGGUCCAAACCCUAUCAUCUCUUGCUUUAAUUAUUACAAUAGUCUCCGAUCUACAUGUCCACUGGAGGUAACACCCACCUCAGUCUAUCCUCAACACAACAGCAGACUUGUCUGACUUUUUUUAAUGCAAUUUUUAUCAUAUUACUCUUCUGCUUAGAACCCUCCAAUGUCUUUACAUCUUAAGCCAAAGUUCUUCUAAUGCCCUUCAUUAUGUAGUCCUGGUUAUUUCUCU